UCGUUUAUUAUUUGUUGGACACGACCUUUGGCAAAGAUAGCAUCGAUUAAAAAUGUCUUGAAUCAAAUACGUGUACCACAUGUACGAACGCACGACCUGAAAAUAAUGUGACCAGCUCCUUGACGUGAUGCAACUAUUAAUGGUUAACUUCCUAAUCAUGUUUGAUGUGGUGUUUGUAUUCUUUCUCUUUCUAAUCGCCGUGACAUGCGUAAUGAACUACAUGCCUGGAAGGAGACGCCAAGAAGUAAUAGAAGAAAAGGUGGAGAAUGACGUCAUUCCUCCACCACCGUUGUUUGCAAGCGACGAAGUAGCGUGCACCAGCCGAGACACGUACGUGGUGAUACCACCACCUCUAGACAACGUGAGAUCGAAAGACGGAUGUCCUAUACACGUCGUUUAGUGUACACGUACUGAUUAUUAUCAACGUAGGAGUUUAUUACAAAGAAGCCUUAUGAAAUCGUAGAUCACAAAAAUAAAAAUAAUAAAUCGUAGUCUUUUU